rnacentral:rRNA from 1 species
ACGCUGGCGGCGUGCUUAACACAUGCAAGUCGAACGAAAAUACCAAGCUUGCUUGGCUGAUUAGUGGCGAACGGGUGAGUAACACGUGAGUAACCUGCCCCUUACUUUCCUGGAUAACUGCUCGAAAGGGUAGCUAAUACGGGAUAUUCUGACUAGCCUGCAUGGGUUGGUUUGGAAAGGUUGUUUUUCUGGUAAGGGAUGGGCUCGCGGCCUAUCAGCUUGUUGGUGGGGUGAUGGCCUACCAAGGCUUUGACGGGUAGCCGGCCUGAGAGGGUGGACGGUCACACUGGGACUGAGAUACGGCCCAGACUCCUACGGGAGGCAGCAGUGGGGAAUAUUGCACAAUGGGCGCAAGCCUGAUGCAGCGACGCCGCGUGAGGGAUGAAGGCCUUCGGGUUGUAAACCUCUUUCGUCAGGGAACAAGGCACCGUCUUUUGGUGGUGUUGAGGGUACCUGGAUAAGAAGCGCCGGCUAACUACGUGCCAGCAGCCGCGGUAAUACGUAGGGCGCAAGCGUUGUCCGGAAUUAUUGGGCGUAAAGAGCUCGUAGGCGGCUGGUCGCGUCUGUCGUGAAAACUUCCGGCUCAACCGGGGGCUUGCGGUGGGUACGGGCCGGCUAGAGUGCGGUAGGGGUAACUGGAACUCCUGGUGUAGCGGUGGAAUGCGCAGAUAUCAGGAAGAACACCGAUGGCGAAGGCAGGUUACUGGGCCGUUACUGACGCUGAGGAGCGAAAGCGUGGGGAGCGAACAGGAUUAGAUACCCUGGUAGUCCACGCUGUAAACGUUGGGCACUAGGUGUGAGGCUCCUUUCCGGGGGUUUUGCGCCGUAGCUAACGCAUUAAGUGCCCCGCCUGGGGAGUACGGCCGCAAGGCUAAAACUCAAAGGAAUUGACGGGGGCCCGCA